UGUUAGUUGCGUUAGGGGAUAGCAGCGGCAUCCUUUUUUUGUUGAAACCCUUCGACCCUGCCUGUCGGUAGACAGGUGCGCAAAGAGAGACAAAAAAAGAUACAGCGGAUAGCCCGUCCCCUC
rnacentral:sRNA from 1 species